rnacentral:pre_miRNA from 1 species
AAAAAGACAAACCCUGAUUUCCGUGCCCAACUUUUGACCGUCCGUCUUAUUUAAAAAAAUUAUGAAAAAAAUUAAAAAGACAAGUCACGUAUAAAAUAUUAAUCAUGUUUUAUCAUCUAACAACAAUAAAAAUACGAAUUAUAAAAAAAAUUUCAUAUAAGACGGACAGUCAAAGUUGAACACGAAAACCCAGAGUUUGUCUUUUU